UACGAAGGGGGCUAGCGUUGUUCGGAAUUACUGGGCGUAAAGCGCGCGUAGGCGGUGAUCUUUGUCAGAGGUGAAAUCCCGAGGCUCAACUUCGGAAUUGCCUUUGAAACGGGAUUGCUUGAGUCCGAGAGAGGAUGGCGGAAUUCCUAGUGUAGAGGUGAAAUUCGUAGAUAUUCGGAAGAACACCAGUGGCGAAGGCGGCUGACUGGACAUGUAUUGACGCUGAGGUGGCGAAAGCGUGGGGAGCGAACAGG
rnacentral:rRNA from 1 species